rnacentral:rRNA from 1 species
AUUGAACGCUGGCGGCAGGCCUAACACAUGCAAGUCGAGCGGGGUUUUCGGACCUAGCGGCGGACGGGUGAGUAAUGCGUAGGAAGCUACCCGAUAGAGGGGGAUACCAGUUGGAAACGACUGUUAAUACCGCAUAAUGUCUACGGACCAAAGUGUGGGACCUUCGGGCCACAUGCUAUCGGAUGCGCCUACGUGGGAUUAGCUAGUUGGUGAGGUAAUGGCUCACCAAGGCGACGAUCCCUAGCUGGUUUGAGAGGAUGAUCAGCCACACUGGAACGGAGACACGGUCCAGACUCCUACGGGAGGCAGCAGUGGGGAAUAUUGGACAAUGGGCGCAAGCCUGAUCCAGCCAUGCCGCGUGUGUGAAGAAGGCCUUCGGGUUGUAAAGCACUUUCAGCGAGGAGGAAGGGUGGUGUGUUAAUAGCACAUCAUUUUGACGUUACUCGCAGAAGAAGCACCGGCUAACUCUGUGCCAGCCGCCGCAGUAACAC